UCAACUUAACUAAAUAAGUCUAAUAUUCAAAAUAAUGAAAUAGUGUUGACAAAACAUCUUUCGUUUAAAUAGUCUAAUUUUAGAUUAAAAUAUUUUGUGAGUUUUACUAUAGUAAACAACCCGUAAAAAUAUAUAUAUAAUCAUAAUUAUGUAAAUGAUAACCCGCUCCAUCACAUAACCCGUGCUACACAAUUAUCAAUAAUUUUUUUGUACAUACAUUUUUGUAUCGUUUGAGUAAUAUACGUCCGUUUUCAAAAAUUCAAAUUGCAACAUAUGCAAAAAAAAAAAAAAACAUUUACCAUCCAUAAUUUUAUGUAAUAAUAGAAAUUUAAAAACAAAUAAGAUGAUAUAAAGAUAUUGGAGAAAUAUUUGAUUUAUU
rnacentral:lncRNA from 1 species